AAGCAAGACGUAAAGGCACUGCAUGCCUCUUUUCUGGAAGUUUCCGGGAAUUUCUGGGACCACCUGCAGACAGGCCUUUCUGAAGUGGCCGAGGGGGUCCAGAGGGCACAGCUCCAACGCCAGGCUCUGCUGUCUUGGCGGUCCAAGGCGGGACAUCUGGAGCGAUGCCUGCAGGAGGCGGACUCGAGGUACCAGCUAGAGAAGCAGAGGAGGAAGGCGCUUCACAACGUUUGGUGGAGCUGAAAGGGAAUAUCAGGGUUCACUGCCGGAUCCGCCCUUUGUUGCCUUUUGAUGAGGAAUCCGAGGAUCCAGCUUCACAGAACAGCUCUGUGCCUGCGGAAGUGGUCCACGCCGUCGAUGAUGUGAGUCACAUCUCCAGCACGCCGCACUUGGAGGAGCUCUCUGUGUGGUGGUUCCCGUGGGCCCCAGAAACGUCCACCCCUGGGCGUAAACCAGAGACGGGUGAACAUAGGAGAGUUUCCCCCUUUAUUCCGUGCCUCCUCAGAUAGCAAAGACGGGUUCUGUGUCCGGAUUUCCGCUGGAGCGAGAAAUUAACGCAGGCUGCGUGCGCGUCCCUUGUGCGAAGCCGCGGGCCUCCUCACUGUAGGUGUGUGUGUGUCAGGAAAGCCGCUCUGCUCUCGUUAGUUUUCCAGCCCCCAAGUCAGCCAGCGCACGAAAGGACGGAACCUGUGGUCUGAGCAUAAGGCAAGAAACGCAAGCGUGGAACCGAUGUGGCUCCUCAUGAACUGUGUCGUUUUAAAAUUAUGAAACGGACGUGUCUGCUACCAGCCCACAAUUUUGUUUUCUCUUCAGAACCUGCGUGUUUCUUAGCUUUAUCGACCCAAAAGGCCUGGAAGCAACAGUGGGAAGCCCAGCACCCAGACCGUGGUUUCCACCUGCUGGGAGUACAGGACGCGCCCGGGACACAGGCUGUGCCGGGCAGUAAAGCGAGUAGGGAAGACGGUGGGGUUGCGUCCACAAAUGCAGAAGGGAUGCCCACUGCCGUAGGGUGAAAUAAUGGAGCUCGAGACGUGACUGGAGCCAGGUUGAAAAAGUACAGAAUUCUACGCAAACCUUCAGUUCGCAAGUACUUCCGUCUUUAAAUCUCAUUGAUGGCCUUUGGAGAGGGCUAGAGCAUCGGUCUAUCACUCUAAAAAAUUACAAAGAAGUAAACAUUUAUGAUGCCUUUCCUGUACGAAAUGCGUUUCAAGGUAAAUAAAUAGUUGGCGAGAGAAAGUUUUUCUUUUCAGAAGAUUCUAGAUUAUCAAUUCAGAGUAAGUGAUAAGAAUAGAAGUCACCACUCGAAAGCCCUAAUAGGUCUGGGUGACAGUCUUCAGUGGGUGCUAGACGGUUAGGGGACAGCAGGAUCUUUACCACAGAAGGUUCCAGAACCCAGAGCACUCGAAGUUUCACAGACGGAGAGAUGCUCAGAUGUGACGAGGUGGCCACAGGCCAUGAGGUGCUACAGUCCCACCAGUGAAGAGACUGGGCUGCAAAGUUGAGCCCACAUCUAAUGGAGUCUGGGGGUCUGCCAUUUUGAACAAGAGGAAAGAAAUCAGCCAAGUCAGAACGUGAGACACUUCACAGGACAAGUGACCCGAUUCCUCUGAGAAAUCAGUAACGCCAAGAAGGGCAGAGGAGGCAGAAUGGGAGACGCCCCAGGCUCGUAAUCACAGUCUCUGAACAAGUCAACUGUAAACCACAUUUUGGGGACAACCAGAGAAACUAGACUACGUGUGGGUUUGUAUUAACUGCCUGAAGUGAGAUGGUAAUGGCAUGGGGGCUGUGCUGAAAAACUGAGUCCUCAUAAGUGAAAUCAAAUGCUGUGUUGUCUGGUAUUUAAAUUAAAAUAUGCCAGGGGAAUGGGAGGUGGGUUGAGCAUCUGUAUAAAACAAGGUGGACCAAAUGUCAAGAGUGCUGGGUGAGGGCUCUCAUUAUCCUGUUUCCUCCAGUUUUGUGCAUGGUUGAGCAUCUCCGUAAAUAAACGUGAAGAUACGUUGGGCUUACACUUCACUGCCGCUUGUUACGACCAUUGCUGCACGAGUCUAGAAAGCGUGUGGAAGGUGACCUCUCAGCUGUAUUGAUGCCCAGACCCUGGUCCUCUAUGCCGCGGUGCCGGGUGGAAGCCGCGAGGGGCUGCUCCCCCCCGCCCCCUGACAAGGUCUGUCGUUGGAGUCCGUCUUAUGGUGGUCACAUGUCAUAAUCUGCGGUGACUCUUCCUAAAGCCACUUCGGUUCACGGAUCGACGGCUUUCUUUUUACACAGCAGCCCAGGAAACCAUUAGCGCGAUAUUGAAAACUCUUUCAACAGUCUCUG